CACACUAUCAUUAACUGAAUCCAUAGGUUAAUGAGGCGAACCGGGGGAACUGAAACAUCUAAGUACCCCGAGGAAAAGAAAUCAACCGAGAUUCCCCCAGUAGCGGCGAGCGAACGGGGAGGAGCCCAGAGCCUGAAUCAGUGUGUGUGUUAGUGGAAGCGUCUGGAAAGGCGCGCGAUACAGGGUGACAGCCCCGUACACAAAAAUACACAUAUUGUGAGCUCGAUGAGUAGGGCGGGACACGUGGUAUCCUGUCUGAAUAUGGGGGGACCAUCCUCCAAGGCUAAAUACUCCUGACUGACCGAUAGUGAACCAGUACCGUGAGGGAAAGGCGAAAAGAACCCCGGCGAGGGGAGUGAAAAAGAACCUGAAACCGUGUACGUACAAGCAGUGGGAGCACGCUUAGGCGUGUGACUGCGUACCUUUUGUAUAAUGGGUCAGCGACUUAUAUUCUGUAGCAAGGUUAACCGAAUAGGGGAGCCGAAGGGAAACCGAGUCUUAACUGGGCGUUAAGUUGCAGGGUAUAGACCCGAAACCCGGUGAUCUAGCCAUGGGCAGGUUGAAGGUUGGGUAACACUAACUGGAGGACCGAACCGACUAAUGUUGAAAAAUUAGCGGAUGACUUGUGGCUGGGGGUGAAAGGCCAAUCAAACCGGGAGAUAGCUGGUUCUCCCCGAAAGCUAUUUAGGUAGCGCCUCGUGAAUUCAUCUCCGGGGGUAGAGCACUGUUUCGGCAAGGGGGUCAUCCCGACUUACCAACCCGAUGCAAACUGCGAAUACCGGAGAAUGUUAUCACGGGAGACACACGGCGGGUGCUAACGUCCGUCGUGAAGAGGGAAACAACCCAGACCGCCAGCUAAGGUCCCAAAGUCAUGGUUAAGUGGGAAACGAUGUGGGAAGGCCCAGACAGCCAGGAUGUUGGCUUAGAAGCAGCCAUCAUUUAAAGAAAGCGUAAUAGCUCACUGGUCGAGUCGGCCUGCGCGGAAGAUGUAACGGGGCUAAACCAUGCACCGAAGCUGCGGCAGCGACGCUUAUGCGUUGUUGGGUAGGGGAGCGUUCUGUAAGCCUGUGAAGGUGUGCUGUGAGGCAUGCUGGAGGUAUCAGAAGUGCGAAUGCUGACAUAAGUAACGAUAAAGCGGGUGAAAAGCCCGCUCGCCGGAAGACCAAGGGUUCCUGUCCAACGUUAAUCGGGGCAGGGUGAGUCGACCCCUAAGGCGAGGCCGAAAGGCGUAGUCGAUGGGAAACAGGUUAAUAUUCCUGUACUUGGUGUUACUGCGAAGGGGGGACGGAGAAGGCUAUGUUGGCCGGGCGACGGUUGUCCCGGUUUAAGCGUGUAGGCUGGUUUUCCAGGCAAAUCCGGAAAAUCAAGGCUGAGGCGUGAUGACGAGGCACUACGGUGCUGAAGCAACAAAUGCCCUGCUUCCAGGAAAAGCCUCUAAGCAUCAGGUAACAUCAAAUCGUACCCCAAACCGACACAGGUGGUCAGGUAGAGAAUACCAAGGCGCUUGAGAGAACUCGGGUGAAGGAACUAGGCAAAAUGGUGCCGUAACUUCGGGAGAAGGCACGCUGAUAUGUAGGUGAAGUCCCUCGCGGAUGGAGCUGAAAUCAGUCGAAGAUACCAGCUGGCUGCAACUGUUUAUUAAAAACACAGCACUGUGCAAACACGAAAGUGGACGUAUACGGUGUGACGCCUGCCCGGUGCCGGAAGGUUAAUUGAUGGGGUCAGCGCAAGCGAAGCUCUUGAUCGAAGCCCCGGUAAACGGCGGCCGUAACUAUAACGGUCCUAAGGUAGCGAAAUUCCUUGUCGGGUAAGUUCCGACCUGCACGAAUGGCGUAAUGAUGGCCAGGCUGUCUCCACCCGAGACUCAGUGAAAUUGAACUCGCUGUGAAGAUGCAGUGUACCCGCGGCAAGACGGAAAGACCCCGUGAACCUUUACUAUAGCUUGACACUGAACAUUGAGCCUUGAUGUGUAGGAUAGGUGGGAGGCUUGGAAGUGUGGACGCCAGUCUGCAUGGAGCCGACCUUGAAAUACCACCCUUUAAUGUUUGAUGUUCUAACGUUGACCCGUAAUCCGGGUUGCGGACAGUGUCUGGUGGGUAGUUUGACUGGGGCGGUCUCCUCCUAAAGAGUAACGGAGGAGCACGAAGGUUGGCUAAUCCUGGUCGGACAUCAGGAGGUUAGUGCAAUGGCAUAAGCCAGCUUGACUGCGAGCGUGACGGCGCGAGCAGGUGCGAAAGCAGGUCAUAGUGAUCCGGUGGUUCUGAAUGGAAGGGCCAUCGCUCAACGGAUAAAAGGUACUCCGGGGAUAACAGGCUGAUACCGCCCAAGAGUUCAUAUCGACGGCGGUGUUUGGCACCUCGAUGUCGGCUCAUCACAUCCUGGGGCUGAAGUAGGUCCCAAGGGUAUGGCUGUUCGCCAUUUAAAGUGGUACGCGAGCUGGGUUUAGAACGUCGUGAGACAGUUCGGUCCCUAUCUGCCGUGGGCGCUGGAGAACUGAGGGGGGCUGCUCCUAGUACGAGAGGACCGGAGUGGACGCAUCACUGGUGUUCGGGUUGUCAUGCCAAUGGCACUGCCCGGUAGCUAAAUGCGGAAGAGAUAAGUGCUGAAAGCAUCUAAGCACGAAACUUGCCCCGAGAUGAGUUCUCCCUGACCCUUUAAGGGUCCUGAAGGAACGUUGAAGACGACGACGUUGAUAGGCCGGGUGUGUAAGCGCAGCGAUGCGUUGAGCUAACCGGUACUAAUGAACCGUGAGGCUUAACCUUACAACGCCGAAGCUGUU
rnacentral:rRNA from 1 species